rnacentral:rRNA from 1 species
AUUGAACGCUGGCGGCAGGCCUAACACAUGCAAGUCGAGCGGUAGAGAGAAGCUUGCUUCUCUUGAGAGCGGCGGACGGGUGAGUAAUGCCUAGGAAUCUGCCUGGUAGUGGGGGAUAACGUUCGGAAACGGACGCUAAUACCGCAUACGUCCUACGGGAGAAAGCAGGGGACCUUCGGGCCUUGCGCUAUCAGAUGAGCCUAGGUCGGAUUAGCUAGUUGGUGGGGUAAUGGCUCACCAAGGCGACGAUCCGUAACUGGUCUGAGAGGAUGAUCAGUCACACUGGAACUGAGACACGGUCCAGGCUCCUACGGGAGGCAGCAGUGGGGAAUAUUGGACAAUGGGCGAAAUCCUGAUCCAGCCAUGCCGCGUGUGUGAAGAAAGUCUUCGGAUUGUAAAGCACUUUAAGUUGGGAGGAAGGGCAGUAAAUUAAUACUUUGCUGUUUUGACGUUACCGACAGAAUAAGCACCGGCUAACUCUGUG